rnacentral:misc_RNA from 1 species
ACGAACGAGGUUGGUGCAGUGAUCACGCAGGUUCAAGCACUGCCGAAGGUGCCGACACGGUGACGAAGAUCGUCCCGUGCCGUCCGCCCGAGGCGGUGCCGUACUCCUCGUGAGCGCGGACCAGCGGCGGUUGGACCGGAGCCACAAGGCGACGGAGGAAGGUGAGUCGACACGGGUCAGUCCUGUGUCGACAGCUUACAGCCCCGUCGUACGGUGCUCAGGCCCGACCGAGGAAAUCGGGCAGCCCUUGCCCACCGCGGCACACGCCGAAUGGCGGGGCCUCCCGAUGCGAGUGAACCGUGCGGUGUGGACUGCAUGCAGUGCAAAUCGUGGCGGCGAUCUCGUGGCGGUGAGUGCCACAUGU